UACGGAGGGUGCGAGCGUUGUCCGGAAUCACUGGGCGUAAAGGGCGCGUAGGCGGCCUGAUAAGUAGGGGGUGAAAUCCUGCGGCUUAACCGCAGGGCUGCCUUCUAAACUGUCAGGCUAGAGCACAGUAGAGGCAGGUGGAAUUCCCGGUGUAGCGGUGGAAUGCGUAGAGAUCGGGAAGAACAUCAGUGGCGAAGGCGGCCUGCUGGGCUGUUGCUGACGCUGAGGCACGAAAGCCAGGGUAGCAAACGGG
rnacentral:rRNA from 1 species